UAGCGAAGAGGUCACACCCGUUCCCAUGCCGAACACGGAAGUUAAGCUCUUCAGCGCCGAUGGUAGUCGGGGGUUUCCCCCUGUGAGAGUAGGAC
rnacentral:rRNA from 1 species